rnacentral:rRNA from 1 species
AUUGAACGCUGGCGGCAGGCUUAACACAUGCAAGUCGAGCGGAGAUGAGGUGCUUGCACCUUAUCUUAGCGGCGGACGGGUGAGUAAUGCUUAGGAAUCUGCCUAUUAGUGGGGGACAACAUUCCGAAAGGAAUGCUAAUACCGCAUACGUCCUACGGGAGAAAGCAGGGGAUCUUCGGACCUUGCGCUAAUAGAUGAGCCUAAGUCGGAUUAGCUAGUUGGUGGGGUAAAGGCCUACCAAGGCGACGAUCUGUAGCGGGUCUGAGAGGAUGAUCCGCCACACUGGGACUGAGACACGGCCCAGACUCCCACGGGAGGCAGCAGUGGGGAAUAUUGGACAAUGGGCGGAAGCCUGAUCCAGCCAUGCCGCGUGUGAAGAAGGCCUUUUGGUUGUAAAGCACUUUAAGCGAGGAGGAGGCUACCUAGAUUAAUACUCUGGGAUAGUGGACGUUACUCGCAGAAUAAGCACCGGCUAACUCUGUGCCAGCAGCCGCGGUAAGAC